UUACCUGAGGUGUGUGUGUAGGUAUGUUAUGAUAUGUAUGUUUACACACACACACACACACACACACACACACACACACAC
rnacentral:miRNA from 1 species